UCCCUCAUAGCUCAGUUGGUAAAGAAUCUGCUUGCAAUGCAGGAGACCUGGGUUUGAUUCCUGGGUUGGGAA
rnacentral:tRNA from 1 species